rnacentral:tRNA from 1 species
GACCCGGUAGCUCAGCUGGUAGAGCAAUUGCCUCUUAAGCAAUGGGUCCAGGGUUCGAAUCCCUGCCGGGUCA